GGCCAUCAUGGUGUAGUGGUUUGAAUGUUGGGCUAGGACUCUGGAGACUAGGGUUCGAUUCCCCGCUUGGCCA
rnacentral:tRNA from 1 species